rnacentral:lncRNA from 1 species
GGAGUCAAGAAAAUUGGAUUUUAAGCAAAAGAAAGGAAUUUAUUUGAACAGUUCCACGUGUUCGUUGAAAAAGGAGGAAAUGAAAGUUCAAGAUUCAAGACCAAUCUCAAGCUAUACAGAAUUCCUGGGAUUAUACUCAGCUGAAUUGGUCAUUAAAGCAGCAAGAUUAAAAAGCAAGCUGCCUGUAGGACAGAUGGAGAAGAGAGGAAAAUCCCCAAAGCCAGGUCUGGACUUCUCAGAGAUCAUUGCUGUUUCCUUCCAGAUGCCUCCCAGCUUCCAAGAAUUAUUCCUUGCAGAUUAGAAUAAUUCAAGGAAGCGGUGCCUAGGAUCAGUUCCAGAAUCAGAGUUCCCAUGUUUCUACUGCACAAGAUUUGACAGCAUCAUCCCUCUGUGGAAUAUCAGGUUAGUGUGAGAAGAAUCAUGCACUGGGGGUGGGAGGAGAAGGAACUUUCUCACAACUGAGCCC